rnacentral:rRNA from 1 species
GAAUUCGCCCUUAGAGUUUGAUCCUGGCUCAGGAUGAACGCUGGCGGCGUGCUUAACACAUGCAAGUUGAACGAAGCUCAUAGAACCUGUUCCUUCGGGAAGAAGUUUUAUGAGACUUAGUGGCGAACGGGUGAGUAACACGUGAGCAACCAACCCCUGACAGUGGAAUAACAACGGGAAACCGUUGCUAAUACCGCAUAAUAUCCAUUUACGGCAUCGUAGAGGGAUCAAAGAUUUUAUCGGUCAGGGACGGGCUCGCGUCCGAUUAGGUAGUAGGUAGGGUAAUGGCUUACCUAGCCAACGAUCGGUAGCCGGACUGAGAGGUCGAUCGGCCACAUUGGGACUGAGACACGGCCCAGACUCCUACGGGAGGCAGCAGUGGGGAAUAUUGGGCAAUGGGGGCAACCCUGACCCAGCGACGCCGCGUGAAGGACGAAGGCAUUCGUGUUGUAAACUUCUUUGGAGAGGGACGAAAUUGACGGUACCUCUCGAACAAGCCACGGCUAACUACGUGCCAGCAGCCGCGGUAAUACGUAGGUGGCAAGCGUUAUCCGGAAUUACUGGGUGUAAAGGGCGCGCAGGCGGCCCUGCAAGUCGGAUGUGAAAGAUCAAGGCUCAACCUUGACAGGCCAUUCGAAACUGUGGGACUUGAGUGUCAGAGGGGAAAGUGGAAUUCCUAGUGGAGCGGUAAAAUGCGCAGAUAUUAGGAGGAACACCGGUGGCGAAGGCGACUUUCUGGCUGACAACUGACGCUGAGGCGCGAAAGCGUGGGGAGCAAACAGGAUUAAAUACCCUGGUAGUCCACG